UACGAAGGGGGCAAGCGUUGUCCGGAAUCAUUGGGCGUAAAGCGCGUGUAGGCGGCUCGAUAAGUCUGCUGUGAAAGUUCAGGGCUCAACCCUGAAAUGCCGGUGGAAACUGUCGGGCUAGAGUCCGGAAGAGGCGAGUGGAAUUCCUGGUGUAGCGGUGAAAUGCGCAGAUAUCAGGAGGAACACCAAUGGCGAAGGCAGCUCGCUGGGACGGUACUGACGCUGAGACGCGAAAGCGUGGGGAGCAAACAGG
rnacentral:rRNA from 1 species